rnacentral:misc_RNA from 1 species
AAGAGUUGAAAAACUCCCAAAACCACUGUGGACCUUACCAUUAUCGUUGCUUCGGCGGUGAACGGGUUUAGGUUGCCCUCCUCCUCUUUCGAGAGGGGGGGCGCCAACCGACCAGCGAGCCGCCGAAGGUCACCUAAACUUUGUAUUUAUGUAGUGCAUCUCUGAGCAUAAAAGAAAACAAGUCA